GCAGUGGUUGUUCAGUGGCAGAACUCUCAUCUUCCAUGUGGAAGACCUGGGUUCAAUUCCCAGCCCAUGUA
rnacentral:tRNA from 1 species